UACUCAAGAGGGAGAGAAUAACUUCCUAAGGAUUCGACUUGUAAGAUUUCAGACUAUUUAACAGAAUGAUUUUUCUAAAUCGUGAGAACCUAGAGCUAGAUACAAAGGUUAUAACAUGCAGAGCUCACUUUCACAUUGGACAGUGGAAUGGAACCGUAGGAUCUGAAGCACUCCGGGGUAAACAAAGGUUUGGAAUGAUUUUCCUUUCUUCAUGGUUGGACUAGUUCAUUCAUUCCUGAACUAAUGAAUCAAAGAGGCAACUCCAUCAGCAGAGCCCCAAUACAGAUGUAGAAACAGUGAACCAAUGGAAGCCAAUGGAAAGCAAAUCCACCAGAAAGCAAUGAUGUAAUAAACCACUUAAAGGGAGCUGAUUAAAGAGGCACAACCAACGUGAAGGUUAAUCACAUCAGUGUCAAUAAACCAGGUAAGAAAUAUGAUGAACUGUUUUUCCUUUUAGAAGCAUGUCAAAUUGGCAUCACAGAUGGUGAAAUAAAUAUACAGUAUUUCCAG